UUUAGAUAUAACCUACCAGUGUAAGGGUUUUUCUAAAGUAAACAGCAUUUAAAUCUCCAUGGUAACCUGUAACGCUGUAAAAACUUUAACUCAUUACAAGCCAGCGAGAGCGGUCAUUUCUGAGGAUCAAAUCUGAAGAGAACAGCACGGAAAACUUAAGUGGCUCACGAACUUACACCUUUUGACGGCUUCAUCAUAAAUAAAACCUCACCAGACGACCAAGGACUCCGUCAAACACCUUCGACAAACACCUGAACAGAGAGGACAACAUCUACGACAUGGAGACCGUAAGAUUUCAUGACAAUAUUAUCAUACAAACUUGUGUUACUGUCGAGACUUUCGUGAAGGAUAAGCGAUGCAUCGACAAGAAUUAAAUGUGUGCAUGGAUAUUUACAGUGUUUAUGACUUUAAUGUGACAGGCAUUAUCAAAAUUAACCGAAAAUAAGUGAAUAUAGGCGUUUUUUUGUGUGUGUGUUACUGUCGAGACGUUCGAAUGGUUAGCUUAAAAGUGAUUCAUUGACAUCACAUGAAAGUCCUGCCCACCAUGUCAAAGGCUCUUUGUGCUUAAGAGCAGAAAAGCUCAUGUUAUUGUGCGAAAUCUCUCUAAGAGAUUUUUUAUGUCUUCUGGGCUAUUUAAAGCCGUCAGUCUGAAACUUAUUUGACAGUUUCUCUUUAUACUAACCAAUGCUAUCAGGUGAAAACUAUAAACACAAGCUAUUUUCACUCUUAUUACAGCGAAAGAGGCACAGUGAAAUGUGGUGUUAAACUAAGGGACACCUUCAUAACUUUAAAGAAUGACAGUCAUCAUAAAAUUCAACAACCUAUUUAUGAAUGCUCUAAUAGGUCUUGGUAACCAAAAAAAUCCUAUGAAUUACAUUUGAACCUAUUUAAAAAGUUACAAAAACAGAUGAAAUUAAGUUAAAAGUAAUGUCCUAUGUACAGCCUUUAAAAUGAAGAGUUCGAUAAUGUUCCACUGAAAUAUGUUUUCAUGUUUUCAUGGAUCAAGUGUGUGUGUUUUUUUUUACCACAAUAUUUAAAAUUUCAAUUAUGGGAAAAAUUCACUAAGUGUAAUCGAAACACUGUCCUAUUGUGGAAGUCAGUUUUUUAUCAAACUGAAAACAGAGGAUUUUCUUAUUUAAUCCUGAAAAAGUCUUUUUCCCAAUAAAAUAAAAUGACUGAAAUAGACAUACCAAAAAUAUAAAUUCUUAAUGGAGGGUGUUGCAUUGAUGUUAAUCUAUUUCUAUUGCACAAUUAACCUGCUGAUUAGAGACUAAAUUCAAAUUAAAAUGUAUUGACUGUCUCUUCUUGAUGAUACUGAUGUUACAGAUGCUUCCUUAAUGACCUUGACCACACAGUCAAAUGUUACAGCUUGUUUAAUUUAAAUGUCUGCGUUGUUUCUGUCUUCAGACCAGCCGACGCUUCACACGGACCUCGGUCCUUGUGCACAGCUUCCACUGGUCCUGUCCCAGGCCGAUCUUGAAGAGGGUCGCGGCAACACCCAUGUCCCGUUCCAAGCCUCGCUCUGUAAGUAGGAAACCACACUGACAACAUAGAUAGGCCAUUAGCAUGCUCUCAAAACAACGUACAAAACUUUUAUAGUCUGAAUGAUUUUAAUUACAGAAAUAUGUUUAUGAAUUUGUCUUUUUUAAUUUUAAUUUUCUUUAACAUUAAUUUAUUUCAAAGAUGUGAAACCUUCCCCUGGAAAAAUCAUUUCUGCAGACUUCAGAUUUUAUAAUUUGUCGUUUUUUCUGUCUCAGGUCCAAGUGUAGCAGUACAGCCUCGUCCAGAACCAGGAUAAGUCCACUCCUAGGCUGUUACUGAGGAAGGUCCCACCGAUGGACGGCCCUCCACAUUUCUCCUCCCCCAAGCUCAACCAGGUAAGUCACUCUCACUCCUCUUCUGUCUCUCCCUCUUUCUCUCCCUCUCCUCCUGUCUCUCUGAGAAAAAAAGAAAAAAGAAAGAAAAAAGAAAAAAAAAAAAAAAAGAAAAAAGAAAGAAAGAAAAAAAGAAAAAAGAAAGAAAAAAAAGAAAAAAAAAAAAGAAAGAAAGAAAGAAAGAAAAAAGAAAGAAAAAAGAAAGAAAGAAAAAAGAAAGAAAAAAGAAAGAAAAAAAAGAAAGAAAAAAGAAAGAAAGAAAAAAGAAAAAAGAAAGAAAGAAAAAGGAAAGAAAAAAAGAAAGAAAGAAAAAAGAAGAAAAAGAAAAAAGAAAGUAAAAAAAAGAAAAAAGAAAGAAAAAAAAGAAAGAAAAAAUGAAAAAAGAAAGAAAGAAAAAAAAAAAAGAAAGAAAGAAAAAAGAAAAAAAAGACAAAAGAAAGAGAAAAAAGAAAGAAAAAAGAAAUGAAAGAAAAAAAGGAAAGAAAGAAAAAAGAAAAGAAGAAAAAAGAAAGAAAAGAAGAAAGAAAGAAAGAGAGAAAAAACGGACCUCGGUCCUUGUGCACAGCUUCCACUGGUCCUGUCCCAGGCCGAUCUUGAAGAGGGUCGCGGCAACACCCAUGUCCCAUUCCAAGCCUCGCUGUGUAAGUAGGAAACCACACUGACAACAUAGAUAGGCCAUUAGCAUGCCCUCUAAACAACGUACAAAACUUUUAUAGUCUGAAUGAUUUUAAUUACAGAAAUAUGUUUAUGAAUUUGUCUUUUUUAAUUUUAAUUUUCUUUAACAUUAAUUUAUUUCAAAGAUGUGAAACCUUCCCCUGGAAAAAUCAUUUCUGCAGACUUCAGAUUUUAUAAUUUGUCGGUUUUUCUGUCUCAGGUCCAAGUGUAGCAGUACAGCCUCGUCCAGAACCAGGAUAAGUCCACUCCUAGGCUGUUACUGAGGAAGGUCCCACCGAUGGACGGCCCUCCACAUUUCUCCUCCCCCAAGCUCAACCAGGUAAGUCACUCUCACUCCUCUUCUGUCUCUCCCUCUUUCUCUUCCUCUCCUCCUGUCUCUCUGAGAAAAAAAG
rnacentral:lncRNA from 1 species